GUGCUCACUUCGGCAGCACAUAUACUAAAAUUGGAACAACACAGAGAUUAGCAUGACCGAUACACAAGGAUCCCACGCAGAUUUGUGAAGUGGUCCAUAUUUUU